rnacentral:rRNA from 1 species
UACAGAGGUCUCAAGCGUUGUUCGGAUUCAUUGGGCGUAAAGGGUGUGUAGGUGGCGCCGUAAGUCGGGUGUGAAAUCUCGGAGCUUAACUCCGAAACUGCAUUCGAUACUGCCGUGCUUGAGGACUGGAGAGGAGACUGGAAUUUACGGUGUAGCGGUGAAAUGCGUAGAUAUCGUAAGGAAGACCAGUGGCGAAGGCGGGUCUCUGGACAGUUCCUGACGCUGAGGCACGAAGGUCAGGGGAGCAAACGGG